rnacentral:rRNA from 1 species
UACGGAGGGUGCAAGCGUUAUCCGGAUUCACUGGGUUUAAAGGGUGCGUAGGAGGGCAGGUAAGUCAGUGGUGAAAUCUCCAAGCUUAACUUGGAACUGCCGUUGAUACUAUCUGUCUUGAAUAUUGUGGAGGUGAGCGGAAUAUGUCAUGUAGCGGUGAAAUGCUUAGAUAUGACAUAGAACGCCAAUUGCGAAGGCAGCUCACUACACAAUCAUUGACUCUGAGGCACGAAAGCGUGGGGAUCAAACAGG